GGGGGGGUGGGGGGGCCAGGUCCUUGUGCCCCGACAGCGGGGAUCUCCGCCUGCCCCUCCCCCGCAGGAGGCUUCACAAAGGCCCUUUGUCCCGCCGAGCCCCUGCGACUCCAGCUCCUGAAAAGUUCCAGGAGAAAAAUCAAAGAGAGAAGCAAAAUCGAUUUCGCAAACUCCAGCCCAGGGUAGUGCCACAGGAGCCUGGGACUGGCAUGGCCCCUGGUGGCUAUGAUUUCGGCAGACGCUUGGAUCUCAAGCGGGUCCGGCGCGCUGGAGACCACAGCCGAGCACCUCUUGGUCGGGGCCUCGGAACUGGCCUUGCCCCAGGCCCAGGGAUUCCCCCGUACUGAGAGCUGAGCCCGCCAGCACCAAUGGGCCAGCCGAGAGGUGCCCAACCCAGGCCAUGAUCUUCCCAGGCCUCCCUCCCCAGGAUCCCAGGAAGUCAGGAAGAGUGGACAAGGCGCGGGACACUUACCCGGGUGCGGGUGGAGGUUGAGGCCGGCCAUGUAUUUCCCGGGCGGCAACGGGCCGGGCAAGCCCGAGGCGGGCAAGCGUCCGGCAGUAGCCGCACCCACGCGGUGGCUGUCCAUGCCCAAGCCGGACAGUAGCGGCGGCGGGGGGCCGUGCACGGACCGCUGGGGCCCGAAGUCUCGGCCAUCCAUCCUCCGCGGGAGUGCCGCGGCCAGACCCCCACCUGGCCUGCCGGCCUUGCUCAGUGGGAUCUAAAAGUUCGGCCUCGAUGUAGUCCCAGAGUCCUCGGGUGGCGGGGGCUCCGCGGUGUGCAUGGCGGCGGCCAGCGGGGCUUGCGCUCGGAAGCGGGCCGGUGGCCCGAGGCGCACAGACGACCGGUGGUGGGGCCCCUUUGGGUGGCCAGGAAGAGUUUCGAGAGACCGGGCACACGGCGUCUUGGCAGGGAGAGGAGACGGGCCACGGAAGACAAGGGGGGGAGAAAAAGAAAAAAAAAAGUUUCAGAAAGUCACCUCGCCCUUCGGGGUCUAGGGCUGCUGAUCUGGUGGCCAAAAAUAAAAUCGGGAGUAGCCCCUUUUCCACGAAAAGUAAAACUCCAUGCUCCGACUCGCAGCGGCUUCAGGCUCCGGUGAUCUGGCUCAGAAAAGUGACCGGUGGAGCACUGUGCCCUAGACCCGACUCUACCACGGCAGCCGCUGGGUCCUCCCGAAACUGGGGAAGGCCACUCGGCCAGCCGCACCCGGACAGCAUAAAUACAAACCUCUUAAGUGUUUUAUUCCCGAGCGUCACAUGCUUCGAGGUUUUAAACUGUGAAACCUUUUCAUGAGCGGCUCGAAAUGUUUCCCUGAACACUAAGUCACUAUCUAAUCCGGAAAGUUUAAUAUUUAACCUUUUGGGGCCCUCGCCUCCCUUUUCUGAGUUUGAUUUUCCUGAGCUCGCCCUGUGAGCCACCAAAGGAGUGUUUGGUUUGGAGCUUUUCGUUGUUGUUGUUGUUUCGGGAGGGAGGGUGCGAAGCGGGUUUAUUAUUUCUAAGGAGGCCCGCUGCCCCCUCCUGUUGCCCCUGUCCAGUCACCGUGAGUCUCAGAGCCUGAGUCCGAGGACCCGAGACGUGGCAUUCUCGCCUGAGGACUGGAAAGAAUCCUUCAAAACAAGCUUUGGUUUCAUUUUCCAACGCCCCAGCCUGGGAAUCCUGUGGCCCGAGGACUUGACCUGGAGCUGGGGAUUUGGGGGCGUCAGAGGGGAAAGAAGGGGAUCAAGGAUCUCAAUCCUACCCUAGCUUUCUCCUACCCCAAAAAAAUAAUCUACAAAGAAAACCUUCGCAGCGCGGGCCGGCUGGGGGGCGCCUCCCCCAGCGUUGGGUAAAUCCCCCUGUAGUUCCAGUUUCAAGCUGUUUGUUUAAAAGAUUUGUCUUUUGCCGAUUCCCGUGGGGGCGGGAAGGGAUCUUGGAGCCCACCCUUCCCUCGCUGUCCGUCAGCCCGCCUGCCGCAGCUCUGAUUCCCGAUUCCGGGAGGCCGGGGCUCUCUGGAGCCGCGGAUCGCGCCAAAGCCGCCCGCUCUUGGGUACCAGCCCCGCGCCCCAACUCCGCGCCCAGCCUCUCAAGCUGCAGACCCUCUUAGCUGCAGACCCCCGGCCUCCUCCUCCACUUUGUUAAGGGUGGCUAUUUUAACGUGGUUUGGGUUUCAAACACCCCCUCGCUCCCUUGCAUCAAGCUCUUGUUACCAGAUCCGCGUUUGCUUAGGAAAAAUCUAAGAUCGUCACAUCCGAGGAUUCAAGUCUCAAGAAGGCGAUGAGCUUCCAAUGAUUUUUUAAAAUAAUGUUUUUAGGGAAGCUUUAUUUUAAAAGCCAGCGCUUCGGAGCAUGCCCAGGCGCCCCAGCUUGAGGGAGUCGGGGUGAAGCUCCCCGGAACACCCUGGCAAUGGUAAAGAAGCUGGCGUGGACAACCGCAGGCUCCGCUGCGUUUUCCCUACUUCUCUCCCCCUCUUAAAUGCAGUUAAAAUGGCUGAAUUCCGGCUUUUAAUUAAAAACAGCCUAUAAUCGAAAA